rfam:Ricinus communis cultivar Hale ctg_1100012360279, whole genome shotgun sequence.
AAACCAUGAUGUGGACAAUGCCUCAAAAUAUCCUUAUAUCUCUCCCAUGCAUCAUACAAUGACUCAUCUCUUCCUUGUCUAAAAUUUGAAAUUUCGGAUCUCAACUU